CUUAUUUUGUAAGGUUGGACUUCCAGGAGCAGGAAGUCUCUAACAGGUUUUUCUGCAGCUGUUGAAACACGUCUGAUCACAUAAAGGCGACUGCUGCUCCUCUCCACAUGGCUGCUUCAACGCUGCUGCAGCUGCUGGUUCUGGUUCUGGUAUCAGGAUGUUCUUCUGGGUCGGACAUUCCUGGCCAGAGAACCAUCACAGCAACACUUGGAGAGAACAUCGUUCUGCCAUGUCGAGCUGCAGACAGCAAACCUGUCACAGUUAUAGACUGGACCAGGCAGGAUCUGGGGUUAGAGAGGGUCUUUCUUUUUCGAGAUAAAAAGACUGACCUGGUUAACCAGCAUGAACAGUUUAAGAACCGGGUGGAACUGCAAGACAGGGAGAUGAAGAAUGGAGACGUGUCCUUGGUUCUGAAGAGCGUGACGGCUGCUGACAGAGGGACAUAUGAGUCUAGAGUUGUUCAGCCUGGAGUAAUAAAGCCUGGUCCCACAAUCUGCAUCAUCAACCUGGACGUUGUUAAAUCACGGAGCAGAAUUCUCCCGGGAAACAAAGAAGAUGAUCUGGGAAAUGGAGGAAAUGAAGCUGGAUCUCCUGGACUACUGAUUGGGCUGACAGUUAUUCUUCAUCUGAGUGUCAGAUUUUGGUUUUGUGAUUUUUGAAAUCAUUCAUAAAGACAAAGGUUUGCCUCCUGCUAAAUAAUCAUCUAUGUUUAUUUUUUCAUAAUUAGCCUUAGUCAGACUUUCCUGAUGUUAAAGGAAGAAACAAAUGGUAAAAUCUCUUGAAGUAAAUCAGGUUAAGAGUUCAAAUUAAUUUUCUGGACUCCAGGAACACUUUUUAUCCAAAUGGUCAUCUUUUGUGAGAGGAUUUAAAUUGUUAAAUAGAUUUGGGUUGAAGGUUAAGCAGGAUUUUAGGGGCUUUAGAUGUUUUUUCAAAGCAUAUCACAUAUUAUCAAUAUGUUACAUCACUCUCCUCGUUCCAACUGCACAUCCACACACGAGUAGCAGCUAGCACUCCAUAAAAGACCGUUGGUAAUAGCAACAAUGCUUUCUUCUAACCUUACUUAGUCUCGCUUUGAUGUGGUCUCAAUAUUGUUGGUUCCCAUUGCUCAGCAGCUUUGGUCUGGUCUGGCAGUGUAGCAUUAAGAAUUGUCUCAAUGCCAAAAAGAGCCCAACAGAUUUUAUCUUAACAAGUGGAGCCUUAGUGCUUAAACCAUAGUGCUCAUAGUGCUCCACUUGAUUUAUAUAUACAAGAAGCUUUAUUAGAGUUUAUGCUGAGACUAUUUCAUGUUUAAUAGACAUAGAAACAGGAAGACAGAAGAGGAAAAAAGGAGAGACAAAGAUGAGACAAAAUGCCAAAAGGGAGAAAAGGUGAAAGAGGAGAGGAAAGGGGGAGAGCGAUAUAACACCCUCUGAGUCUCCUUCUACAGCUGUAAAGAGAGAUAUAAGAACAGCAGAACCAGGUAAUGAAGUAUUACAGGUACAAACAAGCAACACCUUGAUACCAUCACUGAAGAAUAUACAGUAUUAGUUAAUGCAACGUAUUUAGUGACAGCUGAAGAUAAUAACAGGAGUUUUCUACAUGGAAGUGAAUCUAUAAAUACAUGAAUGUAUGCAGCUGUAGGUGCUUGUGAGAGUGCUCUAGAAUCUAUAGUUUAUCCAUGAGAGAAUAUAUUAGUCUGGUAUCUAUGGACCGUCUUUAAGCCAUUUAAAGUUAUUGUCAGCUCAAAGAUGCUCAGUAGUUUUUUUUCUUACAGUUCAGUGCAGUGUGCUGGACAACAACCAUAGGUCUCUGUAAAAAAACUAAAAUCUUCAGGUGCAAAUAAAGUCACAGUGAAAUGAAAGCAUUUCUUACUGAAUUUUACCAGCAGUAAGUUAUAGACUUGUUCAUCUGCAGUCUUUCAGGUCGGUGAUCUGGGUGUUUUCAUGCCAACAGACCGUGGGCAGAAUUCCCCUUGUUGUUCUGCACCUACCUCCUUAAAUGUACAUACCUGCAGGGUAGUUUAACCUGCUGUGUCAGAUACAGACAUGUUUGCUCUUGAUUUAGGGCUUACAGCCACUCAGUGUUUUACACUUCAAUACUUUUCUUCCUUUUUAGGACUACCUGAGAAUUCAUCUAAUGAUUAAAAUAACAUUAGAAAAGCUUGUUUAGAUUAGGCUCUGAAUAGCUGAUUGUGACAGAAAAAGGUUUACAUGAACUGAGUGAAGUUUAUCAAAAAUCUACCUGCUUUCUGCGAAAGAUCAUAUUUUACAUUUUUAAUUAAACCCAUCAUCCUGUAUCUGAUACAUCUGCAGAAAGUCACUUUGUUCUGCUCUGCUACUCUAAAACAUGCUAAGGGUUAUAAUCUGUAAAUGUUCGGUCUGAAGAGAAGAACUUUAGUCUUUAGUAGACUGAGUGGUAAUGCCAGCCUUGAGAUGUUUUAAGAUGAUAGAGCUAGCAUAGACAUUAUAUAGAUAAACUGGCGCUGCCUACUGGAGAUGACGUUUCAGUGCGGCCGCCAUCUUGGAUGGGUCUCUCAUGCACCCCUAGUGCAUUUCUUUGUACUGAGGAAGCUGUUGGUCCAACUAAACUAAAUUAUGACUACCUGAAUUUUUACCCGAUUUUCCCACAAAAUAUACUAAAUAACAGCUGACCUGACACUUGUACAUAUCUACAUUCUGCUGGAUAAAGUUGUUUAAAAUAACAAAAGUGAGAAACAAGGCUGGAUCAGAACACAUAUUUGUGUCACAUCCUUCUUCGAAAUAACAACUAUUGUUAUUAGUUUUUCUAUCCUCUUUCAGCAUUUCAGUCCUACCGUGGCCUACAUGUACCAGGGCAGCUUUUAGAGCGUGCUAUGUGCUGUUUAUUUGCACAAAAUACCGCCUAGAACAGUGUUAAUGUCAUUAUUGUUCAUCAACAACAGUGCCAGCUUCCAGGUUUUUUCUACUGUCCAAUAAAAGGAAAACUGGAAAGCAACAAGGCAGAGAUGACGUACUCUGCAACUCGUUAGUUCUGACCUCCGAGGCAAAAGAAACGCACCGUUAGUCUGACUUUGCUCUCUAAAAGUCUGAGAAUUUAAGACUGUUGGGUCUAAAAUGGCAGCUUGACCUAAAAUCAAUGUUACAUGUAGCGGCUGCACCUCUGAACCGAACAAAUUAAAAGUGGUGUUUGCAUUUGGAAAGUCCAGCUUUAAAGCACAUUUAGAGGUACUAUGAAGAAAACAGCAGCUUUCCUGGCCUAACCUUCUUUUCUCUGUGUUUACUGGAACGCUGUUCACUCUGGUUUACCGCGUUCUCAUCCUGAGCGUACGGUGGACUGGAUGGGUCAAAAAGGAGAGGCCAGGUGAAUGCUGGGUAAAGAGAGCAUUAAUGAGACUAGACACUACAACACUGAUCACUGAUCAUUACACAUGUUGCAUUAAAUAACUUGGAUUUCUGUAGAGAAAAACAUUUGGGCAAUUUUUACAGAAUUCAAGUCAUUUCCUUUAAAUCUCAUUUUAAUGCCACAUAUGUCGCCCCCUGCUGGUAAAAAGGAUCCAAAGACUGUCACAGUAUUAACUAGAAAUGAGUACAAAAUGCAUUUUUUUAUAAAUGUUUGUUUAUUUUUGUAAAUUUGUUUCCAUUUUCUUAACGUUUAUAAACAUAAAGAUGCUGACGGGUUCACUGUAAAGGACAACCUACAGAUGUUUACUACAUGUACUGUAUGUUAGCAUUCCUCUCAUAGUGGUACAGAACACUUUAGUCCUUUAUAGAGCAAUAAUCUGAAUGUUUCCAGCUCCAUAAAACUUUUGAAUAUGUAGUUUUCUAUGUAUUUUUGUUGUGUUAACUGAUGGUGAAUAUUUUCUCAUAAUAAAAGUAAGAAGCUGAC